rnacentral:lncRNA from 1 species
AAAAGUUGAGCAUAAUGAUAGUUUAGUUCCAUGUACGAAAUGUGAUGAACUAGAAACACUUAGAAAGGAAAAAUUGCUAUUAAAAAAAACCUUAGAAAAAUUUGAGGUUGGUAUCAAGUCCUUGAACAUGAUCCUUCCCAACAAGGGUAACAGUGCCAUUGCUUAGGCUAGCUAUGGGUCACUGAAUGGGCCUUUCACUUGGCCCAAAAUAGCCUCAAUUCGGG